CGCGUAGGCGGUUUUUUAAGUCAGAUGUGUAAUCCCCGAGCUUAACUUGGGAACUGCAUCUGAAACUGGAAGGCUAGAGUACUGGAGAGGGUGGUGGAAUUCCUCGUGUAGCGGUGAAAUGCGUAGAGAUGAGGAGGAACACCAGUGGCGAAGGCGGCCACCUGGACAGUAACUGACGCUGAGGCGCGAAAGUGUGGGUAGCAAACAGGAUUAGAUACCCUGGUAGUCCACGCUGUAAACGAUGAACACUUGGUGUGGAGGGAGUUGACCCCUUCCGUGCCGGAGCUAAACGCGUUAAGUGUUCCGCCUGGGGAGUACGGUCGCAAGGCUGAA
rnacentral:rRNA from 1 species